rnacentral:rRNA from 1 species
UGGGGAAUAUUGCACAAUGGGGGAAACCCUGAUGCAGCAACGCCGCGUGAGUGAUGACGGCCUUCGGGUUGUAAAGCUCUGUCUUCAGGGACGAUAAUGACGGUACCUGAGGAGGAAGCCACGGCUAACUACGUGCCAGCAGCCGCGGUAAUACGUAGGUGGCAAGCGUUGUCCGGAUUUACUGGGCGUAAAGGGAGCGUAGGCGGACUUUUAAGUGAGAUGUGAAAUACCCGAGCUCAACCUGGGUGCUGCAUUUCAAACUGGAAGUCUAGAGUGCAGGAGAGGACAGUGGAAUUCCUAGUGUAGCGGUGAAAUGCGUAGAGAUUAGGAAGAACACCAGUGGCGAAGGCGACUCUCUGGACUGUAACUGACGCUGAGGCUCGAAAGCGUGGGGAGCAAACA